rnacentral:tRNA from 1 species
GAAGUUAUAGCUCAGUGGUAGAGUGCAUGCUUAGCAUGCACAAAGUCCUGGGUUCAAUUCCCAGUGCCUCCC